UGCCAAUAAAUUGUAUUAAGGUUUAACAGCAGCAGAAUAAUAAUGUUUAUCGUAGACUCUCAAGUAUGAGAAAUUUGGGUGUUAUUGUUGACAUUGACAUAAGUUAGCCAAUCUUUCAGAAUUGAUCAGCUAAUUUUCAUUAUUUUGAGAGGAGAGUUUGCUAUGAAUCUGAAGAUCCUAUUGUUCCUUUCCUUCUGAACGCCGCAAAUGCAAGCGACAGCAAUGCAGUCCCAUCCGAGUUUAAGUGCCUGUUACGAUAGUCUUCCUCUCCAUUCUCUCCAGAAUUCAUAAAUGGUGGGUGGA
rnacentral:lncRNA from 1 species